rnacentral:rRNA from 1 species
UACGGAGGGUGCGAGCGUUGUCCGGAAUUAUUGGGCGUAAAGAGCUCGUAGGCGGCUUGUUGCGUCGGCUGUGAAAACCCAUGGCUCAACCGUGGGCUUGCAGCCGAUACGGGCAGGCUAGAGUUCGGUAGGGGAGACUGGAAUUCCUGGUGUAGCGGUGAAAUGCGCAGAUAUCAGGAGGAACACCGGUGGCGAAGGCGGGUCUCUGGGCCGAUACUGACGCUGAGGAGCGAAAGCGUGGGGAGCGAACAGG